AAGAUGAGCUGUUCUGCUACAGCUGCUUGUCGGACUAGCGUAACAGGACGCUCGUCUGCC
rnacentral:pre_miRNA from 1 species